CUAGAUUGGAAUGGGCGCAGCCUGAUCCAGCCAUGCCGCGUGAGUGAUGAAGGCCUUAGGGUUGUAAAGCUCUUUUGUGCGGGAAGAUAAUGACGGUACCGCAAGAAUAAGCCCCGGCUAACUUCGUGCCAGCAGCCGCGGUAAUAAUUAGUGCCAGCAGCCGCGGUAAUA
rnacentral:rRNA from 1 species